rnacentral:rRNA from 1 species
GAUGAACGCUGGCGGCGUGCCUAAUACAUGCAAGUAGAACGCUGAAGGAAGGAGCUUGCUCUUUCCGGAUGAGUUGCGAACGGGUGAGUAACGCGUAGGUAACCUGCCUGGUAGCGGGGGAUAACUAUUGGAAACGAUAGCUAAUACCGCAUAACAGUAGAUGUUGCAUGAUAUCUACUUAAAAGGUGCAAUUGCACCACUACCAGAUGGACCUGCGUUGUAUUAGCUAGUUGGUGAGGUAACGGCUCACCAAGGCGACGAUACAUAGCCGACCUGAGAGGGUGAUCGGCCACACUGGGACUGAGACACGGCCCAGACUCCUACGGGAGGCAGCAGUAGGGAAUCUUCGGCAAUGGACGGAAGUCUGACCGAGCAACGCCGCGUGAGUGAAGAAGGUUUUCGGAUCGUAAAGCUCUGUUGUAAGAGAAGAACGAGUGUGAGAGUGGAAAGUUCACACUGUGACGGUAUCUUACGAGAAAGGGACGGCUAACUACGUG